GACACGCUUAGUAAUUUUUCUGUGAUUAUGAAUUCCAUUGACGCCAGAAUCUUGUUCCAAAGCGGAUUGGUUUCCUGGAACGAAGAGAAACUACUUUUGUUAGAAAUAGCCCGGGUGACAGUGUCUAGUUAACACGACACUUCUUUUCGAAGACAGAAGUUAUUGCCAUAGUUCUAGAGUGUUCGACAUUCCCAGUAACAUAGGCGUUCUCACUUUGUCAAGGAAAUUUACAAAAAUUGGAACCAGAGGUCCUGUGUGCUAAAGUGCAAGUGGAAACCAUCAAUGUCAGGUGGCCAGUGAAGAAGUACGUGCAUUACUUUAGAGGACAGGAAGAUUACCGAUGGUAUUUGGGGAUAGCAAUAUUUCCCCAUUGUUGCAGAUAGUCAGUAAAUAUAUCAUACACGGACAUCUAGAAAGCUUAAUAAAUUAAUGGUUCACACUGGUUUUGAUUUUCUUAUCAAAUACCCCCAUUACAGUUCAACAGUUGAAAAAUCUGUGAAGAAUUAAAUGAGGGAAAAGUCUUUUAUUUCUCAAUGCAUUUAAAGAAAUGUAUUCUACAUUAGCAAAUAAAAGUAUUAUUAAAUUAUAUUUUCAAA